GCCCGGCGGGCAAUUUCAGCGAGGAGCCAGCCUGCAGGGACGGCGUAGACGCGCUGGUCUCAAACACCAGUGGCAGAAAUGCUGUGUGGGUUCAAGUCCCACUCCGGGUA
rnacentral:tRNA from 1 species